rnacentral:rRNA from 1 species
ACAUGCAAGUCGAGCGGGGUUAUUACCACAGAAACCUUCGGGUUGAAGACGUUCUAACCUAGCGGCGGACGGGUGAGUAACGCGUGGGUAACCUGCCCUAAAGUUCGGGAUAACACUGGGAAACCAAUGCUAAUACCGGAUGACUUUUAGUUGAGGCAUCUUAAUUAAAAGAAAGUUUUUAACGCUUUAGGAUGGACCCGCGUCCCAUUAGCUAGUUGGUGAGGUAACGGCUCACCAAGGCAGCGAUGGGUAGCCGGCCUGAGAGGGUGACCGGCCACACUGGGACUGAGACACGGCCCAGACUCCUACGGGAGGCAGCAGUAGGGAAUUUUGCGCAAUGGGGGCAACCCUGACGCAGCGACGCCGCGUGAGUGAUGAAAGCCUUCGGGUUGUAAAACUCUGUCCUUGGGGAAGAAACAAAUGACGGUACCUGAGGAGGAAGCCCCGGCUAACUACGUGCCAGCAGCCGCGGUAAUACGUAGGGGGCAAGCGUUGUCCGGAAUUAUUGGGCGUAAAGGGUGCGUAGGCGGCCCUUUAAGUCAGAUGUGAAAGCCCACGGCUUAACCGUGGGACUGCAUUUGAAACUGGAGGGCUUGAGUGUCGGAGAGGGCAGUGGAAUUCCCAGUGUAGCGGUGGAAUGCGUAGAUAUUGGGAGGAACACCAGUGGCGAAGGCGACUGCCUGGACGAUAACUGACGCUGAGGCACGAAAGCUAAGGGAGCAAACAGGAUUAGAUACCCUGGUAGUCCUAGCCGUAAACGAUGGGUACUAGGUGUAGGAGGUUUCGAUACCUUCUGUGCCGCAGUUAACGCAAUAAGUACCCCGCCUGGGGAGUACGUGCGCAAGCAUGAAACUCAAAGGAAUUGACGGGGGCCCGCACAAGCGGUGGAGCAUGUGGUUUAAUUCGAAGCAACGCGAAGAACCUUACCAGGUCUUGACAUCCCUUGACAGCCUCAGAGAUGAGGUAUCUCUUCGGAGCAAGGAGACAGGUGGUGCAUGGUUGUCGUCAGCUUGUGUCGUGAGAUGUUGGGUUAAGUCCCGCAACGAGCGCAACCCUUGCCUUUAGUUGCCAUCAUUAAGUUGGGGACUCUAGAGGGACUGCCGGUGACAAAUCGGAGGAAGGUGGGGAUGACGUCAAAUCAUCAUGCCCCUUAUGACCUGGGCUACACACGUGCUACAAUGGUCUGUACAGAGGGAAGCGAAAGGGCGACCUGGAGCGAAUCCCAGAAAGCAGAUCUCAGUUCGGAUUGUAGGCUGCAACUCGCCUACAUGAAGUCGGAAUCGCUAGUAAUCGCAGGUCAGCAUACUGCGGUGAAUACGUUCCCGGGCCUUGUACACACCGCCCGUCACACCACGAAAGUUUGUACCAGAAGCAGUUGAGCUAACCUUCGGGAGGCAG